rnacentral:rRNA from 1 species
GACGUAGGGCGCGAGCGUUGUCCGGAUUUAUUGGGCGUAAAGAGCUCGUAGGCGGCUUGUCGCGUCGACUGUGAAAUCCCGCGGCUCAACUGCGGGUCUGCAGUCGAUACGGGCAGGCUAGAGUUCGGUAGGGGAGACUGGAAUUCCUGGUGUAGCGGUGAAAUGCGCAGAUAUCAGGAGGAACACCGAUGGCGAAGGCAGGUCUCUGGACAGUUCCUGACGCUGAGGCACGAAGGCCAGGGGAGCAAACGGG